UACGAGGGGGGCAAGCGUUGUUCGGAAUUACUGGGCGUAAAGGGCUCGUAGGCGGCCAACUAAGUCGGAUGUGAAAUCCCCAGGCUCAACCUGGGAACUGCAUCCGAUACUGGAUGGCUUGAAUUCGGGAGAGGGAUGCAGAAUUCCAGGUGUAGCGGUGAAAAUGCGUAGAUAUCUGGAGGAAUACCGGUGGCGAAGGCGGCAUCCUGGACCGACAUUGACGCUGAGGAGCGAAAGCCAGGGGAGCAAACGGG
rnacentral:rRNA from 1 species